GGUGGCGUACUCAAGCGGCCGAAGAGGCACGCUUGGAAAGCGUGUAUAGGGCAACCUAUCGAGAGUUCGAAUCUCUCCGCCACCGCCA
rnacentral:tRNA from 3 species